rnacentral:rRNA from 1 species
GGAUCCAGACUUUGAUUAUGGCUCACGAUGAACGCUAGCUACAGGCUUAACACAUGCAAGUCGAGGGGCAGCGGGAUUGAAGCUUGCUUCAAUUGCCGGCGACCGGCGCACGGGUGAGUAACGCGUAUCCAACCUUCCGUACACUCAGGGAUAGCCUUUCGAAAGAAAGAUUAAUACCUGAUAGUAUCUUUAGCACACAUGUAAUUAAGAUUAAAGAUUUAUCGGUGUACGAUGGGGAUGCGUUCCAUUAGGUAGUAGGCGGGGUAACGGCCCACCUAGCCAACGAUGGAUAGGGGUUCUGAGAGGAAGGUCCCCCACAUUGGAACUGAGACACGGUCCAAACUCCUACGGGAGGCAGCAGUGAGGAAUAUUGUCAAUGGACGAGAGUCUGAACCAGCCAAGUAGCGUGAAGGAUGAAGGCCCUACGGAUUGUAAACUUCUUUUAUAAGGGAAAAAACCCUCCCACGUGUGGGAGCUUGUAUGUACCUUAUGAAUAAGCAUCGGCUAACUCCGUGCCAGCAGCCGCGGUAAUACGGAGGAUGCGAGCGUUAUCCGGAUUUAUUGGGUUUAAAGGGAGCGCAGACGGGUCGUUAAGUCAGCUGUGAAAGUUUGGGGCUCAACCUUAAAAUUGCAGUUGAUACUGGCGUCCUUGAGUGCGGUUGAGGUGUGCGGAAUUCGUGGUGUAGCGGUGAAAUGCUUAGAUAUCACGAAGAACUCCGAUUGCGAAGGCAGCACACUAAUCCGUAACUGACGUUCAUGCUCGAAAGUGUGGGUAUCAAACAGGAUUAGAUACCCUGGUAGUCCACACGGUAAACGAUGGAUACUCGCUGUUGGCGAUAUACUGUCAGCGGCUUAGCGAAAGCGUUAAGUAUCCCACCUGGGGAGUACGCCGGCAACGGUGCAACUCAAAGGAAUUGACGG